GUGCAUGCUACUAUUGAAGACAAUGGCGAGAACAAAUUAAGAGGGCAGGAGUCCAGGAGUGUAUUUCAUAUAGCCAGCUGAAAACACUUUAAGGCUACCAACAAAGCAAAACCAGUUACCACUAUUAAACGUUAUGAAUGAUGAAAAAGUCAACAGAGUAGAUAAAGCUUUUGUAUUCAAAAACUGCAAUUACUUUUGCACCAAUCUAAUAAAUAUACGAGAUUUGCACACUUCUUAAAAGGACUUUCUCUUGAACCUCUGUAGAAAGAACUGAUUCCUCAGCAGCAUCAUGAAAAUAAAGUAGUUAAUAUUGAUGAAGCUACAAAAUUAAUGGCUCAGUUCU
rnacentral:lncRNA from 1 species